rnacentral:rRNA from 1 species
GAUGAACGCUAGCGGCAGGCCUAAUACAUGCAAGUCGGACGGGAUUCAGGAGCUUGCUUCUGAUGAGAGUGGCGCACGGGUGCGUAACACGUAUGUAACCUACCUUUAUCAGGGGGAUAGCCUCUCGAAAGAGCGCUUAUGCCCGCAUAAAAUCACAGCACAGCAUUGUGUAAUGAUCAAAUAUUUAUAGGCUAAUGAUGGGCAUGCGGAACAUUAGCUAGAUGGCGGGGUAACGGCCCACCAUGGCGACGAUGUUUAGGGGAUCUGAGAGGAUGGCCCCCCACACUGGUAAUGAGACACGGACCAGACUCCUACGGGAGGCAGCAGUAAGGAAUAUAGAGCAAUGGGCGGAAGUCUGAACCAGCCAUGCCGCGUGCAGAAAGACGGCCAUACGAGUUGUAAACUGCUUUGAUACGAGAAUAAACCCAGAUACGUGUAUCUGGCUGAAGGUACUGUAAGAAUAAGGAUCGGCUAACUCCGUG